UCAAAGAUGCGGAGCAUGAAAUAAGUAGAUAGACAGGUCUAAGUUGUUGUAAAAGAAGAUGAAGAAACAUCAAGAGAUGCAAGGUGUUGGGAAAAAAAUUACUAGUAAAUCUAAGGUGUUUUGUUUGCUGCUAAACACUCAGAAGAGCAGAAAGAAAAGGAAAAAGAAACAAAAUGGUUUAGAUACAGAUCUUGAUAAUUGGUUUGGUAUCGGAAAAGUUAUACUGAAAAAUUCUUACUAUGUCUUCACGCUGUGAUGUGCGCGUAGUAAUAUGCGAUGCAGAAAGGAAGAAAGGUGAAGGAAUCCAGAUCCAGAUGCACAGUCAUUAAAACCAAUUCAGAGUUUUUGUGGCUGCAAAGUUUAAUUGACAUCUUCGGUUAUGAGGAAUCAAUCAGAGCUCGGGAUCUCCUCACCGGAAGCAUCGGGAUGUCCAGCUUUCUCAAUCAUUAUGGAUUCUAUUGCGUCAAAGAAAUCCAACAAAACACGAUUGAUAGUUUCGCUUUGAAUAAGAUUUCAAUGAGGAAUCAGAAACAGAUUAAAGCUUGUUUCGGUUUGAAUAAGAUUGAUAGUUUGUAGAAAGAGUUGAAGGCAUUGGAAGCUACUGCAAAGGCUCAGAAGAAAGAGAUUGAGACCCUCGAGUUGAUGGAGAUGUGUUAUGCCAAAGAAAGAAACAAGAUCUUGGAGGAGUUGUCAGCAGCUGCAUCAACACCUUGGUACAAGAAGCAAAUUAACCAGUAUGAAGAAGAAGAUUAAGCAGUGAAAUUUUAGGGCAUUUUGUUUCAAAGGCCAGAAAGACAGAGACAACUACUAGCUCCGUUAGGAGUUUGCUGGUCGAAAGAAGACCAGCAACAGGCACAGUUGGUGGAGGAUUUACAGAGAAACGUAUCCUCCUCCCUUGGAGAGCAAAGGAGUAACAUCAAGGCAGUUUUUUGUCAGUAAUAUAACUCUUGCAUCUUUCAUGGGAAAGACGAUACCUAUGGAAUAACUCGGUUGUGAUGACACGGACCUAGCGGAGACAAUCAAACAUGAUAUUUUGAUGACACUGGUGUUGCUCAAUCAAUCUUGGCAGUUCAGCAAGCUUGGGAGAAUAAGGUGCGCCGAAACUUCAGAAUUUAUUCGUACCAGAUAAACGUUACAAAAGCUACGUUGUGUACUGCCUGUGGAAUAUUUAGGAACAAGAAAGCUAAAUGGAAAGACAUCACUACACACCCCAUGAUACAAGUGAAAAGCUUUCUGCAGAUAAACCCAACAUGUUAACCGACAGUGAUCUGAAGUGUGUUGUGAACUUUUGGACUACUGAAGAACAUCUGGUGAAUUCAUCUCUAUUAUGCUCACCCAGUAGAAGUACCUGAAAGCCAAGCACACUGAUGCAUUUGAAAGUGGAACAUCACUACUGUUCAAAAAUUAGAGCGAAAUCCAUUUCAUUAGUUUAAUUUGUUUUGGUAACUGUCAUUUAGCUGCCGUUUGCAUAUUAAAUCCAUGUACUAGAUAACUAACGCCAUGGAUCACUGAAAUUGAAUUACAUAUACUUAA